rnacentral:rRNA from 1 species
AUGCAUGCCUUGUCCGGUAGCGUCACGCUGGGCUGCUCAAGCUCUAUAAAACCCACCACUCGCAUGCAUUCCUCAACCACAACCUCCCUCACACACAAUACAACAAUGGCUUCCAUGAUCUCCAUCCUCUUGCGCUGCUCCCUGCUACUUCUCCUCCUUGUCCAGUCCACACACUCCUCCGUCACCUCGAAGCCCAAGAACGACAUUGCCGAGGAGCACAAGCAGCCUCAUCCUUCGACCUCCAGCACCUACAUCGUCCUCACCAACCACCUCGCCAAGCCGUCCAAGUUCGACACCCUCGAGCGCUGGUACGCGUCCAUGGUGGGCAAGAACUCCAACCGCAUCCAGUACACCUACGGCACCGUCAUGCACGGUUUUGCGGCUCGUCUCACGGACGGCGAGGCCCAGCGCAUGGCGACCGUCCCCGGCGUGUCCCGCGUGUACAAGGACAGGCUGUACCACACCCAGACCACGAGGUCUCCGUGGUUCAUGGGCCUCCACGACGACUUCGGCGCGUGGCCGGACGCCGAGUUCGGCGACGGCGUCAUCAUCGGCUUCGUCGACACCGGCAUCUGGCCGGAGCGCGCCAGCUUCAGCGACGCCGGGCUCGGCCCCGUCAGGUCCACCUGGAGGGGCAAGUGCGUGGACGCGCCGGGAUUCAACGCCAGCUUGUGCAACAACAAGCUCGUCGGCGCCAAGUCCUUCGUCGAUUCGAGUCCGAGGGACAUCGAGGGGCACGGAACGCACGUGUCGUCAACGGCUGCAGGCUCCGAGGUCCCCUCGGCCGAUCUCUUCAAGUUCGCGCGCGGGAGAGCGAGCGGCGUGGCGCGCAGGGCAAGGAUCGCCAUGUACAAGGCGUGCACACCCAUGGACGGAUGCUCCUUGUCGGCCAUUACCGCGGCGAUCGAUGCCGCGGUGAGCGACGGCGUGGACCUCAUCUCCAUGUCCCUCGGAGGCCCCGUGGAAGCCUUCUACGACGACCUCGUCGCCGUCGCCACGUUCGGCGCUGAGCGCAGAGGCGUCUUCGUCGUCAUGGCGGGCGGCAACGACGGCCCGAAAGCGUCAAGCAUAACCAACGUGGCCCCGUGGAUGACGACCGUCGGCGCCGCCACCACGGACCGGUUGUUCCCGGCGACACUCCGGCUCGGCAACGGGGUGGUGCUCACCGGGCAGUCCCUCUACAACAUCCCGUUCUCCCAGGGCGCGGGCAUGAUCCCGCUAGUGAGCAGCGACUGCGGCGAGUACGACUACCACCUGACGCCCGACAGGAUCAUGGGCAAGGUCGUGGUGUGCUCCCAGGGUGUAGGAGCUUGGGCCGGCUUUGACGUGGAGAGAGCCGGCGGAGCCGGGAUGAUUUCCGCAGAUAGUAGGGUACGGUUCGGGGACGCGGUGAAGGCCCAACCCUUCAACCUUCCCGGUCUCCAGCUCAGCUCCACCGGCGGCAAGAAGCUGGCCGAUUACAUGUCGUCCGUGGCGUACCCGGUGGCGUCCUUCAACUUCACCUCCAACACGGUCACCGGCGAGAACCGGGCGCCGAUGGUGGCGGGCUUCUCCUCGCGGGGCCCCAACCCGAUUGUCCCCGAGAUCCUCAAGCCGGACGUCAUCGCGCCAGGAGUGAACAUCCUCGCCGCUUGGUCUGGUGCCGCCUCGCCAUCUGGCUCCGACAUGGACCCGCGGAGAGUGGGGUACAACAUCCUCUCGGGGACGUCGAUGGCGUGCCCGCACGUGGCCGGCGUGGCGGCCCUGAUUAAGAAGCGGCACGGCGACUGGACGCCGGCCAUGAUCCGUUCGGCGCUGAUGACGACCGCCGGCCCGCUCGACAAGGACGGCAGGGACAUCGUGGACAGCGGCAGUGCCAUCGGCGCCGCCGUCAUGGGCGCGACGCCGCUGGCGGCCGGGGCCGGGUUCGUGCUCCCGCGGCUCGCCAUGGACCCGGGCCUGGUGUACGACGCCGGCACGCAGGACUACGUCGACUUCCUCUGCACACUCAACUACACGGUGGAGCAGAUGCAGCAGUUCGUGCCGGAGCUAAGCAAGUGCGAGAGGACGAUUCCCGGCGGCGUGGCCAACCUGAACCACCCGUCGUUCGUGGUGGUGUUCGACGGCCGCACCCGCGUCCGCACGCUGACGCGGACGGUGACCUUGGUGUCGGCGCGCCCCGAGAGGUACAACGUGACGGUCGCCGCGCCCGACGGGGUGAAGGUGACCGUGACGCCGGCGACGCUGGAGUUCAGGUGGCCGAACGAGAAGAGGAGCUACAGCGUGCAGUUCAGCAGCGAGGCGGGGGCGAAGGCGAGGCCGGCCGGCACGUGGGAGUUCGGCCACAUCGCCUGGGAGAACAGGAAGCACCGGGUCAGGAGCCCCGUCGCCUUCAAAUGGGACAACUGA